AUGGCUCAGGACGAACGCUGGCGGCGUGCUUAACACAUGCAAGCCGAACGGGAGUAUUGAAGAAGCUUGCUUAGAGAUACUUAGUGGCGGACGGGUGAGUAACGCGUGAGGAGCUGUCCUAUGCAGGGGGACAACAGCUGGAAACGGCGUGCUAAUACCCCAUAAGCCGAGAGGUAGAAGGAUCAAUCCGGCAGAGGAGGUACUCGCGUCCUAUCAGCUAGUAGGUGAGGUAACGGCUCACCUAGGCGAAGACGGGUAGCCGGCCUGAGAGGGCGAACGGCCACACUGGAACUGAGAUACGGUCCAGACUCCUACGGGAGGCAGCAGUGGGGAAUAUUGGGCAAUGGGGGAAACCCUGACCCAGCGACGCCGCGUGGGUGAAGAAAUCCUUCGGGAUGUAAAGCCCUGUUGUAUGGGAAGAGCGGAAGACGGUACCAUACGAGGAAGCCCCGGCAAACUACGUGCCAGCCGCUGC
rnacentral:rRNA from 1 species